rnacentral:rRNA from 1 species
UUUGAUCCUGGCUCAGAACGAACGCUGGCGGCGCGCCUAAUACAUGCAAGUCGAGCGAGAAGACGUAGCAAUACGUUUGUAAAGCGGCGAACGGGUGAGGAAUACAUGGGUAACCUACCCUCGAGUGGGGAAUAACUAGCCGAAAGGUUAGCUAAUACCGCAUACGAUUCCCGGACUGCGGUUCGGGAAGGAAAGCGAUACCGUGGGUAUCGCGCUCCUGGAUGGGCUCAUGUCCUAUCAGCUUGUUGGUGAGGUAAUGGCUCACCAAGGCUUCGACGGGUAGCUGGUCUGAGAGGACGAUCAGCCACACUGGCACUGCGACACGGGCCAGACUCCUACGGGAGGCAGCAGUAAGGAAUAUUGCGCAAUGGACGAAAGUCUGACGCAGCGACGCCGCGUGGGGGAUGAAGGUCUUCGGAUUGUAAACCCCUUUCGGCAGGGAAGAUGGAAUGGGGUAACCCAUUCGGACGGUACCUGCAGAAGCAGCCACGGCUAACUUCGUGCCAGCAGCCGCGGUAAUACGAAGGUGGCAAGCGUUGUUCGGAUUCACUGGGCGUACAGGGAGCGUAGGCGGUUGGGUAAGCCCUCCGUGAAAUCUCCGGGCCUAACCCGGAAAGUGCAGAGGGGACUGCUCGGCUAGAGGAUGGGAGAGGAGCGCGGAAUUCCCGGUGUAGCGGUGAAAUGCGUAGAGAUCGGGAGGAAGGCCGGUGGCGAAGGCGGCGCUCUGGAACAUUUCUGACGCUGAGGCUCGAAAGCGUGGGGAGCAAACAAGAUUAGAUACCCUGGUAGUCCACGCCUUAAACUAUGGAUACUAAGUGUCGGCGGGUUACCGCCGGUGCCGCAGCUAACGCAGUAAGUAUCCCGCCUGGGAAGUACGGCCGCAGGUUGAAACUCAAGGAAUUGACGGGGGCCGCACAGCGGUGGAGCAUGUGGUUUAAUUC